GCUUAAUUCCAUGAAGUGUGCGAUUAAUUGCUAUUAAUCACAGAAAAAGGGUGAGAUUAAUUAGAUUAAAAAUUCUAAUCUAUUGAUCAGCUCUCAUAGAUGAUAUAUACAUCUAUGGAAUGUCCACAUAAAACAUGGAAACCCAAUGUCUGUCUGUCUCAUAGCUGUCAACCCUCCCGUUUUUUCCGGGUUUCUCACGUAUUUUAGCUCUUUUCCCGCUGUCUUCCCGUUUUAGUAUUUUGCCGUAAAAUAUCCCGUAUUUUUACACUCUGAUUGUGUUAGCUCAGAACACGCAACUAUCUGUGUCUGUGAAGUGGCUUGCACUUGGGUUGCUAGACCUCCAGUAAAGCAGGUGGCAGUAUACAGUAGCUUAGGCUACUAUCGAAGAAGAAGACAGUUGCAGGCGGCGCCGGCGGGCGGGAUGAAGACGGAAAAAGUAGCGGGAAGUGAACUUCGAGUGUAGAGUAGAUGAGUGUGAUGUGCGAUGAUAGAUCAGGCCGCCGACGGCCAAAAUCACCGAAUUAAUCACCAACCAAAACCGAGGACAUUAUGCCGAUAUUUGAGUAAAUGGGAGACCACCUUCCACUACCUGACAAGUAGCCAUGCAAUGUGGGCAAUACAGAAAAUUUGUUCGACAAGCUGGACAUAACACUAAGGAAUCGUGGCAUUCCCUGGAAAAAUCUGAUUGCGUUCAAUUCCGAUAACGCAUUUGUUCAACUGCCUCUUACACACAUUCUUUCUCUCUGUCUGCCUCUCUCUCUCUGUUUCUUUCUCACUCUGUCUCACAACAUUAAGCUAAAACACGUAGUAGCAAAUGAAAAUGUGUAAGUAAUGUUUACCUUGUUCAUAAAUAAAUCACUUUUAACAUA